UACGGAAGGCAGCAGUGGGGAAUAUUGCACAAUGGGCGCAAGCCUGAUGCAGCCAUGCCGCGUGUAUGAAAAAGGCCUUCGGGUUGUAAAGUACUUUCAGUCGUGAGGAAGGUGUUAAGGUUAAUAACCUUAGCAAUUGACGUUAGCGACAGAAGAAGCACCGGCUAACUCCGUGCCAGCAGCCGCGGUAAUACGGAGGGUGCGAGCGUUAAUCGGAAUUACUGGGCGUAAAGGGCACGCAGGCGGUUAAUUAAGUUGGAUGUGAAAUCCCCGGGCUUAACCUGGGAAUGGCAUUCAAGACUGGUUAGCUAGAGUCUUGUAGAGGGGGUAGAAUUCCAUGUGUAGCGGUGAAAUGCGUAGAGAUGUGGAGGAAUACCGGUGGCGAAGGCGGCCCCUGGACAAAGACUGACGCUCAUGUGCGAAGCGGUGGGGAGCAAACGAGGUAUUAGACUA
rnacentral:rRNA from 1 species